GUGGUGGCAGCACGUGGUUGUGG
rnacentral:piRNA from 1 species